rnacentral:rRNA from 1 species
GGAUUAGAAACCCCGGUAGUCCACACAGUAAACGAUGUAUACUCGCGGUUUGCGAUAGAAUGUAAGCCGCCAAGCGAAAGCAUUAAGUAUACCACCUGGGGAGUACGCCGGCAACGGUGAAACUCAAAGGAAUUGACGGGGGCCCGCACAAGCGGAGGAACAUGUGGUUUAAUUCGAUGAUACGCGAGGAACCUUACCCGGGCUUGAACUAAGAGUGACGAAUCUAGAGAUAGAUUUUUCUUCGGACACUCUUGGAGGUGCUGCAUGGUUGUCGUCAGCUCGUGCCGUGAGGUGUCGGCUUAAGUGCCAUAACGAGCGCAACCCUUUUCCUUGGUUGCCAUCAGGUAAUGCUGGGCACUCCAGGG